GCAUCGUGACCGUUAAAUGUUCCACCAUCCGUGUUUUCUUAGCCGUCUAUCUUGACUCCGCAUCCUAUAUAACCAUCGGUUCCCUCGUUCCAUUCCAUUGUACAUUGCUCGGAUUUAUCUGUUUGAUUCGUGAUAUAUCGAUUGUAGGGUUUGUCGUUCUUGUUUUUUUUCUACAAGCUGCUACUAUGAAGAGUUUUUUUUUCUCGUUAUUGAUGGUUGCAGGAGAGAUUCUUGCUGUGGUUAACGAUUUUGAUAAUGGAGAGAAGCGUCUGCAGUGAGUUAAGAGUUCUUGAUAUAUAAGUAAAUCAAAAUUUUUCUCCGGUAGAUAAAUCAAUUUUUUUCUCCGAAUCUUUUGGCGAUGAUUCAUUUGGUGUUGAGUGUUUGCAGUCUGAAUUUGGAGAUAUUGGAGAUGAGUUCUACUGUGGGGUGUUGAGUGUUUGCAGUCUGAAUUUGGAGAUAUCGGAGUGGCCCAAAGACUUUCUAUUAGGAUGAAACCAAAAUUAUCAUUACAUGAUCUCUUGAGUUGGGCGGAAUUUUGUUCCCUAUGAAUUCUCAUACUUUGUGGGCUAUGUACUCUCUCUGUUGCUACACUCUAGUUUGCGAAUCUGCAACUGGUGCAAGAACUUGGUUGGCAUAAGGGGAGCCUAAUUGAGCACAAGAGCCUGCAAUUGGUUGUUGCUGUACUUUCAUCUGGUGAUCUCUACUAUGACUAUUAUUAAUUUUGAAUUCAUUAAUCCUCGGCAUAGUUUUAUUGCCUAGUUUAUUUAUUCCCUUAUGAUUUUCACUUGGGUGUUACACAUGAGAGAUCUAUUGAGUACAGUGAGGGGGUGGUUAUAACUUAUAACUAUAAAGCCUUAGAGUUUCCUUAUCAUAUAUAUAAAUUAUUUUCUCUUACAUUUUGGUUUUUGAAGUAAAAUAGUAAUGAGAUGUGUUUAUCCUUGUUGCAGCACGUUGGGAAUUCUUAAUAAUGUGGAUAAGAACAAGAGCCACCGAUAUAAAUCAAUUCCUCCAAUGACUCAUUCUAUAUCAUUUUUAUUUUCCGGCUUUGAUCACAUUACAUACAAAUCGAAUUGUGAACUUGUUUUUCUGCAAUGGUUUGCCAAAAUAAUCUCUAUCUUUCAUUAUAGAGUGGAGCUUCUGAGUUUGUUUUGGUGAUUUCUUUUAAAAUCCUUCUAGUUUUCAACUAUUGUUGAAUAAUAACUAUCUUUCAAUAUAGUCGAGCCUCUGAGUUUUGAUUUGAUGAUUUCUUUAAAAAUUGUCUGGUUUACAACAAUUCUUUCUCGCUGUUGAAAUCAUUUUUCUUAAUUUAUUAUUUUCUCUGGUGUUGCAGGAAAUGUAAUUUUGUGAACACACGUAGUUUGUUUUAUUUUCAGUUGUUUGGUCUUCAUGUGUUGUAUUCGCUUCUGGUAUUCAUCGCCAUACAUAUCAACUGAAAUGAUUCUUCUUUUCUUCUUCUGCAGAGUUGUGUUUUGAAACAAUAACAUUGUGUAGAAUCAGUCCCCAGGUUUAUUUUGUUUCAAUUUUUAUUGCACCUCUUCCUGAUUUACUCUUUUAUGAUUUUCACUUAGAGGUUAUUACCGUAAAUACUACUUUUUUCCCACAAAAGUGUAUGUUCUAAAUUUUGGUUUUUGAUCUAUAAUUUGACAGUAAAAAAGUUUGCACAUUUCUGGUGAGCCUUUUAUUGUUACAUGAGCCUUUUUGAUUGGGUUAAAAAUGUCCCCUACAUCUUUACACCAUUGGACAGUUAUCGAAGUAAUUCACGUUGAAAUAAAGCCUAGUUUGGUUUUUCUUUCAAAAAUGACUAAAUCAACUAAUAAUAGAUUGUAACACAUGACACAAGACAUGGGGAAGGUUUCUCCAACAUAGGUUUUUUUCUGCUUUUAUUCCUGCGUUGAUAGUAGCAGGACUUUACUUCUUUGAUCAUAAUGUUGCUUCUGGGAUGGCACAAAAAAAAAUUCAAUCUCAAGAAACCUUCUGCAUAUCAUUAUGACAUAUUCUUACUCCGAUUCACGGUAUCUAUCGAUAUAUACCAAUUAUGAAACUCAUCAUCACUAAUAUAAUCAUACCUAACUUUUUGUUAUGAAUAGAACAUUUCAGACUUUGCUUUGUGGACUACUUGGAUUAACACCUUCAAAUGGUGUUCUUCCUCAAGAGUCUAAUGAUCAGAAAAAAUUGGUUGAAAGUGCGAAAGAAACGUAGUGAUAUUGAAAUCUACGAGAAGAUGCAAGCAGUGUUUGUAGAAAUGGACAAACAGCUGUUACUUUUGUGGAAAGAGAAUUAGAGAACUCAAAAAAGAGAAAUGGACAUCUUGGUUGGUGUUAUUUGCUUUGACUAUCUGUUUGUUGGGGAUACAUUGGCAAAAGAGUGGCGAUAUUCUUUUAUUGUUUAUUGUUUUGAUUGUGAUUUGUGACUUGUACUCCUAAAUCAAUAUCCCCUGGCUAGUCAUCUGUUCCAAACCAGCAUGUUCUGCAGGCUGUGUUGAGGACAAGAUAUUGCAAAUUGGAUAGUCAUCUGUUCCAAACAACCAGCAUGUUCUGCAGGCUGUGUUGUAUGCUUUACUUUUCUCAGUUCUUUUGAAUUUUCAUUUUGGUGUUACAAUAUAGAAGCAUACAAGAUUUGUUUUCUAGCGCCGUGGAUGGAGAAUUUUAGUAAGCUUAGUUUGGGGCUGUUAUAAAUUUUGGUGUGCCUUGGCUCUGUUGCAAGCAGAGGUUAACAUACAAUACAAUAUCCUUUCAAUCUUUUGGACGAAACCAGCCUUUUUUCUCACAUUUGUAUCUGUUUUGCAAUUGGAUAUUUGUUCUUUGAAGGUGUGUCUUGAUUGUGUUGGGAGUUUUCGUAUCAAGUGGAGGAAUGCUGAAGCAUAUAAGAUUUGUCUGCCAGCACGCCAAGGUUAGAGAAUUUCGGAAAGCUUGGUUUGGCCUUGUUUUGUUCCAUUGGUUUUCCACUUCCUUUGUUAUAUGUUUUUUCUUAUAUCAUUUUCUAUUUAUAAGAAUAGGAAUAUUUUCUCCCAAAACAUUAUCACUCUGAUUUGGAGUAUAGCUGUGGGAGCCUAUGUAGCAUCAGAUUCUACAAUUUCAUUUGGUGUGCUCUACUCCAAUUUUAAAUUCUUCACUUUUCUUUGUCUUAGUUGAAGGUCUUAUUUUCUUAAAUUGUUCACGAGUUCUCUUCACAUUGCUCGGUUUUUAUUGAGGAUCUAGUUUCCUCGACUCUAUCAUUAUUCAAUGAUUGGGUUAUGCUCUUAAAUAUUAAAGGAUAUUGAGAUAUGCAUUUACCCAUUUUGCGGCGAUUUGAUUUCUGGAUAUCUGAAUCAAGCCCUCUACAUGAAUUGUGAAUUAUUUUCAUUUCUUCAGAUUCUCAUUAUUGCACAACAUCUUGAUUUGCUCCUUAAUGAUUUGCACUUGGCUGUUUCAGUUGAAAAAGUUCAACUGAUGUGUAUUCUGACAGGGAAUAAGUUUCCGUAAUUCCGGAGAAGUAGUUCUAUGGUUUUUGAUCUGUAUUUUGACAGGGAAUAAGUUUCCGUAAUUCUGGAGGAGUUGGGGAAACUUGGUGGGCUUCUCUUUAUUAUGCUGAUCUGCAACUUGGUGGUUUGACGAAUUAUGCAAUUCUUCUUCUUUCUUGGUUCUUUUUCUACAAUUAAUUUGUCACAACAUAAUUUUUUUUUAUAUCUAUCAUAUGUUGACAGAGUAAGUGUUACAUGAGUUUUGAUGUACCACAUAAAGUUGGUGCAGCUUGGUGGGCCUCUCUUUGUUAUGCGACUUGGUGGUUUGAAGAAUUAUGCUAUUAUUCUUUCUUUCUUCUUUGUUCUUUUUCUACAACUCAUUUGUCACAGAAUAAAGUGUUACAUGCGUUUGAUGUACUACAUAAAGAUUCAUAAUCAUACUGCUCUUCUUUGAUUCAUCAUCCGAAGAGGAAAGAUUGGAGACGAGUAUUUCUUCUGCUUUGUAUUACUCUCCUUCUGUGAUCGAAUCAACAAGGACAUGUGAACCAUAAUGAUAUGUGGAUGUGUGUUUUAAUUUGGUGAUCUCUACUCAGAUUAUGAAUUCUUUACAGCUCAGUAUUUUGUUUCAUCAUACACGCUUGAUUCCUAUCGUAUUUGGGAUAAAAUUAUGCAUUAUUCUAUAAUACGCGAUUAUGUUUCUAUAUUUGUAACAUGAAUUUUACUUUGGUUUAGAGCAUACAAGAUAAUGGGCUAACUCCGCUCUUCCAAAAAUUGGAACGUUGAAGCAUACAAGAUUCUAGAGUAUAUCUUUCUACCUGCACUGAAGAUGAUGAAUUCAGAAGAGAAUCUACAAUUGGUGCAAGAACUUGGCAUAAGGGGAGCCUAAUUGAGCACAAGAGCCUACAAUUGAUUGAUUGUUGUACUUUUGUAUGGUGAUCACUCCUAUGACUACUAAUUAUUCAUGUUUCUUUCUAUAUAUUAAGGUCUUGUUUUAUCGAUUUCUUUGCGAGUUCCAUGUAGGCGUCGCAUGGAAUAUGUGCUUAGAUGAUUGUCGUGACUUUCGUGGAGACAUUCUGCUUGAUGUUUCAUGGGAGAGAGGUUAUGAAACUAAAAAUCUUCUCUCCCAUAUGGGUAUCCCUCACAGAAUCUGCAACUGGUGUAAGAACUUGGCAAAAGGGGAGCCUAAAUGACACAAGAGGCUGCAUUGUUGUUGUUGUACUUUCAUCGGGUGAUCUCUUCUAUGACUAUUAAUUUGUCAUGUUUCUUUGUAUAUAUGUUAAGAUCUUAUUUUUUUGGGGUUUCUUCAUAAGUUUCCUGUAGACGUCAUAUGGAAUAUUCUUACAUGAUUGUCGUGGACAUUUUGCUCGAUGAUUCGUUGGAGAGAGGCUAUGAAUGUAUCAUGGAAUUUUAACCUUUGCAUUUAACCAGUCAUUUUUUCCCCUUGAAUGUACAUUUGAAUAAUAGAUGUCCUAUUAGAGUGUAAUGACGUAAUUUAACCAGAUUCUUGAUUUACUCCUUAAUGAUUUGCACUUGGCUGUUUCCGUUGAGAAAAUUCUAUUGAGGUUUAAUUGAAAAGUUCAGCUUUAGGGAUUCUUACCAGCAGUAUUACUUCUCUUUUACAAAUGUUAGUUAUACAUUUGGGUUUUUGAUCUGUAUUCUGACAGGGAAUAAGUUCCGUAAUUCCGGAGAAGUUGGGGCAGCUUGUUGGGCCUCUCUUUGUUAUGCUGAUCUGCGACUUGGUGGUUUGAAAAAUUAUGCGAUUAUUCUUUCUUUCUUUCUUCUUGGUUCUUUUUCUACAAGCUUGUCUCAGCACAAUUUAUUGUAUAUCUAUCAUGUAUUGACAUAGUAAGCGUUACAUGGGUUUUGAUGUACUGCAUGAAGUUGGGGCAGCUUGGUGGGCCUCACUUUGUUAUGCUGUUAUGCGACUUGGUGGUUUAAAGAAUUAUGCUAUUAUUCUUUCUUUCUUCUUGGUUAUUUUUCUAUGACUCAUUUGUCACAGUAGAAUUAUGCUAUUAAGUUUAAUUGGUUAUUUUCCUAUAACUCAUUUGUCACAGUAGAAUUAUGCUAUUAAGUUUACUUGAUUUAUGGUGUGCUUUGGCCUGUGGCAAGUAGAGGUUACCACAUUUUGUCCAUUCAACCUUGGGAUAAAACCCGUCACUAUUUUAAAUAUUUGUUUUGGGAUUGGGGAUAUUUGUCCUUUGAUGGUUUGUCCUGGUAAUCUUGGAGUUUGUGUUUUUGUAUCAGGAUUGUACUAAAGAUGAGGAAUUCGGGAGGCUCGACGCUUUUCUAUUCUGUUGGUUUUCAUCUUUCUAUGUUUUAUCCUCUGUUUUUUGUUUUUUAAGUUUAAUUGAUUCUGAAGAGCCUAUUUUAUUUAUGUGCAUUCUUAGUUACUUUACUCUUCUAGACAGGAAGAAUAACUGUGGAAUCAUUUCUUGGUUUGCAAAAUUACAUUUCCCUUUUCCUCCUUUUUUUUAAUGACAUCUCUGUCAUAGUCGUGUAAGGAAGAAUAACUUGGUGGAAUCACUUCGUUCUUCUGACAUGCCACUUAAUUUGCAAAAUUACACUUGGCCCUUUUCCCUUUUUUUUAUUGACAUCUCUGUCACAGUGGUGUAAGGUUCUAUUUUCUCAACAUAAUAAGCAGCAUGCUUUUCUGUAGAUGGAGAAUGGCUUGGUGUAAUCACUUUGUUCCUCUGAUUUGCCACUUGGUUUGGAGAAUUACACUUCUAGUUUCAUGUAAGAAACGGCAACCCAUUCAAUAUCAGUUGUUGUCUUCUUCUAUGUGUCUAAGUGUUAUGUAUUAUGUUUGAGACUGAAAUUUUUUCUAGCCGUCUACCAGAUAUCAUAGAUGAGUGACCUAUUGUUUUGGAGAGGAAUAUAAAUUUUGAAUUUUGAAUAAUAUUUUAUUGUAGUGUUUUAGUUGUCGAUUUCGAUAGAGAAUGUUGCAUGGUCUGGUGUAUUGUGAGUUUUGGUAGAGGUUAUACAUGAUUUUUUUCUAACUUAUAUAUGUCUUUGUUUUGGAUUAUAGAAAUUGUUUUUAUAGAUAAUUCUAUGAUGGUUUGAGUGGGCCUGCAUAGUAUUGGGAAAAACAUAUAUUUUAGACUUUUGGUCGCUUUGAAGGACAUGGGGAUGCUUUUCUAUACCCUUCAUUUAUUUGGUGAUGUACAUAAAAUUGAAUCCAGAGUUCGUGCUGAGAGGUCAUGACAUUGGCCAAGCAUUGUUCUCACCAGGAAUCGAACUCAGUAUUUCUUGGACUUUCGUUCCUUAGCAGGAGCUUGUUUAUUACUCAAGCCCAAGUGCUUGGUUGAACACCACAUAUUUCUUAGUUCCUAACAAACACCGGCUUGAACUCUGUUAUGUAUCCUUUGUGCUUCGGUUAAUUCUUUGAAUUUUCUCUCUUGAAAAUUGUAAAUGUAGUGUCAUGUAAAUGUAUCGACGUGCAUUAACUAAGAACACUCGAGAUUCUAGAAUAUCUCUUUGCUUAACUCGUACUGAGGGACUUCUAUCUUCAUUUUUAUUUACACUGCCUCGAGCAUGGUACACACUUUGCUAUGUAACAGCUAGAAACUAUCUUUGUUAUCUCAUGUUCUUAUGAGGUGUCUUUUUAAUUACCGUAAUCAUGUUAUCUUAGCCGUCUAUCUUGACUCUGCAUCCUAUAUAUUAAUUCUUAGUGCAAGAACAUGGCAUAAGUGGGAGUCUAAUUGAGCACAAGAACUUGCAAUUAGUUGUUAUUGUAUUUUUAUCUGGUGAUCUUUACUAUGACUAGAAUAUGUGCUUAGAUGAUUUUUAUCUGGCGAUCUCGAUUAAGCUACACAAAAUCAAUACUCUUCUCAUUUCGAUCUUUGUUUGAUUUUGAUACGCAACAUCUACUUUUGUCAGGUCCUUAGUCUCUUGUGUUUGGAUAUUACACAGGAGAUAACCUAUGGAACCUGAUUAUAUUUGCAGUCAAGGUUCACAUUCUUUCUGUCUAUAGCUUUGGGAAAGAACAUUCUAUUUUUUGGUCACAUAUGGUCUAUUUGUUUUGGUAUUUGGGAUAUUUGUCCUCUAAUGGUGUGUCAUGUUUUAGUUGGAGGCAUACAAGAAACCAUACCGGAUUUUAGGGAACAUCUCUAUCCCGAGGAUAAGGAAUUUUUUAAUUUUGUUGAUUUGCCAUUUCCUUUGUUAUAAUUUCUUUUAUCUUUUUUCAUUUUUAUUCUUGUCAUAUGUGAUAUAUAAGGUGAAAUUAAAAAUCUUCUCUCCCAUAUGGGUAUCCCUCAGCGAAUCUGCAAUUGGUGCAAGAACUUGGAUGGCAUAAGGGGAGCCUAAUUGAGCACAAGAGUCUGAAAUUGGUUGUUGCUGUACUUUCAUCCGGUGAUCUCUACUAUGACUAUUAUUAAUUUUUCAUGUUUCUUUGUAUAUAUUAAGGUCUUGUUUUCUCGAUUUCUUUGCGAGUUCCAUGUAGGUGUCGUAGACAUUCUGCUUGGUGUUUCUGGGGAGAGAGGUUAUGAAACUAAAAAUCACCUCUCCCAUAUGGGUAUCCCUCACAGAAUCUGCAACUGGUGCAAGAACUUGGCAAAAGGGGAGCUUAAAUGACACAAGAGGCUGCAAUUAGUUAUUGUUGUUGUUGUACUUCAUCGGGUGAUCUCUACUAUGACUAUUAAUUUGUCAUGUUUCUUUGUAUAUAUUACGAUCUUAUUUUUUUGGGUUUCUUCAUAAGUUUCUUGUAGACGUCAUAUGGAAUAUUCCUAGAUGAUUGUCGUGAACAUUUUGCUCGAUGAUUUGUUGGAUUGUGCAAUAUUUUUAAAAAUAUUGUUGUGCAACAUAAAGCAAUUAGGUUUAUUUUGAUGAACUCUUGGAUUGUGGAUUAUUUUGAAUUCAUUAAUUCUCUGCAUAGUUUUAUUGCCUAGUUUAUUUAUUCCUUUAUGAUUUUCACUUGGGUGUUACACGUGAGGGAUAGGUUUAUUGAGUACAGUGAGGGGGUGGUUAUAACUUAUAACUAUAAAGCCUUAGAGUUUUCUUACCAUAUAUAUAAUUCUUUUCUCUGACAUUUUGGUUUUCAAACUUUAAUUUGACAGUGCACUUUUUUUUCUAAUUCUGGAUAAAUUAGGACAACUUUGGUAGACUCCUUUUGUAACAUUGAUCUACUGAUUAGCGUUGUUUGGAGAAUCAUGCUACUAUUAACUUUUUUUUCUUGUGGACCACUAAAUGUCACAGGAAAUAUCAGUGUGAAAUAUUGAUGUACAUGUGUGUGUUAAAAACAAUGGUCUUGGAUAGAAUAUUAUGAUAGAGUUUGAUCUAUGUAGCAGAGACCACGUAGUGAGAAACAAUUAGGUUGUUGUAGUUGUAUGUAUUGCAUGAGUUUGGUGUACCACAGAAGUACCAUUCUUUUCUAGUCUAACUGCACCUAGUCUCACUGCACCAUGUUAAUUUUCCUGUUUGAAGUUAGGGAAAUUGGAGAUGACUGCCUCUAUGCUGUGAACAAAUUAAACUAGAACAUAUUCAUGUUUUCCUGCUGUGAUAUAUAUAUUUAAGGGCUUCUAGUCUUGAUUUAGGGAUUUGAAUUUAGAUAUGAACAUUUCCGUAUGCAUGUUAUCCAUUUGUGUCUAUUGAGAUUAUCAUACUUUCUCAUUCAUCGUUUGGAUAUAAGUUUUUUCUUAUAUGUAUAUGUAUCUGUUCCCGAACUGCUGUUUCUUCACCAAGUUGGUGUUUGAAACUUUUGUGUUUCUUCUAUUGUUGAAGCUUUUCUGUUCCUUCAUCUGGAACCUGAAUACUAUUAUAGGCUUCAUUUUGGAAGAAGUCUGUGCCUUUUCAUAUAGGAUUUUAGACAACUUGGUGAUGCCGUAUGUGUGCUAUUUAUUCUGAUGAUUUGUUCAGGGUUUAUUCUGAUGAUUUGUUCAGGGACAACUUAACUUUGUUGGGAGAGGUUUUUCUAUAUUCUUCUUUUGCUGUUGUGUUUUUAUUGCUAUUUUUGAUUUAUGAUUAUGAUACUUCUAAGAAGAUACCCUCUUCCUUACAGUGGCCCAAGGACUCCUUUGUAUUAGGAGGAGGCUGAAACUGUGUCAUUUCAUAUGGGUACAUGUCCUUGCAAAUAGGAUGGUGAAUUUGUUCUUUUGUAGGUUGUGUUGCAUACUCUUUAUUGUUGCUAUGCUUUAAUUUGGUCAUAUCUACCAAGACCCUUUACUUUACAUUUCAGUUUUUGUUUUAUUUUGAUACUUAGCCUCUACUUGUCAGAUCCUUUGAGUUUGCAUUUGGAACCCAUGGUAGGCUUAAUAGGUUCACAUACUGUCCAUUCUGCCGUUUUGGGAUAAAACAUGGGAUUUCUUAUCUGCAUAUAACACAGAAACUGCAAUUGGUGUGGUUCAUCUGGUGAUCUCUACUUUACCAUAAAUUCUUUAAGUCUUCAUGAUUUCUUUAUUCAAGGUCUAGUUUACUUGUUUUCUUCAUGAGUUCCUUUUGGGUGUCAUGGGAGGAUAUAUAUUGUGGAAGCUGUGAUAGAUUUAUCAAGGACAUUUUGCUUUUUGUUUUACAGGCGAGAGAAGCUAUGAAUGUACUGUGGUAUUUAAAGUUGAGGUCGACAUUAUGAAGGAGAUGCUUUAGCAUAAGCCAUGAAGCUACGAAUGUACCGUGGUAUUUAAAAGUUGUGGUCGGACGUUAUGAAGGAUAUGCUUUAGUUUAAGCCCUUUGGAUUAAUGAGUCAUUUUCUCUCUCUUGAAUGUACUUGUUUUGGGGUGUCCUAUGAUGUACAAUAUGGCAGUAUUGAUUGGUGUGUUUAGAAUUAUGAGUUUAUGUUUUAGGAGAAUUUUAGUAUUUAUGGUUAUAUAUUAUAUAUGUCCACCUCUUUCUUGGAUAAAUGAGACAUGUGUCUGUUUUGCAGAGUGAA